GCGCCCGUAGCUCAACUGGAUAGAGCGUUGGGCUUCGAACCCAAAGGCUCCGCGUUCGAGUCGCGGCGGGCGCG
rnacentral:tRNA from 1 species